AUGGCUGGCAAGGCACACAGGCUAAGUGCUGAUGAGAGGGACCAACUGCUGCCAAACUUGAGGGCUGUGGGGUGGAAUGAGCUGGAAGGCCGCAACACCAUCUUCAAGCAAUUCCAUUUCAAAGACUUCAACAUGGCAAUUGAGUUCAUGACAAGGAUGGCCCUGCAGGCUGAGAAAUUGGACCACCAUCCUGAAUGGUUUAAUGUGUACAAGGUCCACAUCACCCUGAGCACCCACGAGUGUGCAGGCCUUUCGGAGUGGGACAUAAACCUGCCAGCUUCACUGAACAAGCAGCAGUGGCCAUGACUGCUCAGGAGUUAUAUGAAUUGGGAAUCCAGGGAAGGAAUUGGGGAGUCCUGGAUCUUGCUGAGUCAUCACUGCCAAGUCUACCCUGGGGGUGGGUCCUUGCUGUGCAAAGGAAAGAAUCCCUCUUCACUGACUGA